rnacentral:rRNA from 1 species
AGCGAACGCUGGCGGUAGGCCUAACACAUGCAAGUCGAACGGCAGCGCAGUAAGUGCUUGCUCUUCCGGUUGCGGAGUGGCGAAUGGGUGAGGGAUAAUUCGGAAUCCACUUUUUGGUGGGGGUUAACGUCGGGAUCUUUACGCUGAUACCGCAUACGUCCUACGGGUGAAUGCAGGAGUUCUUUGGACCUUGCACGAUUGAAUGAGCCGAUGUCGGGUUAGCGAGUUGGCGGGGUACAGGCCCACCAAGGCGACGAUACGUGGCUGGUCUGAGCGGAUGAAGACGCACACUGAGGCUGAGACACGGUCCUGGCUCCUAGGGAAGGCAGCAAUGGGGAAUGGUGGACAAAGGGCGCAAGCCUGAUCCAGCCAUGCCGGGUGGGUGCAGAAGGCCUGCGGGUUGUAAAGCGGUUUUGUUGUGGUAGAAAAGCUUCAGGUGGGAACACGGUUGUUGUGACGGUACCUAAAGAAGAAGCACCGGCUAACUUCGUG